rnacentral:rRNA from 1 species
UACGGAGGGUGCAAGCGUUGUUCGGAAUCAUUGGGCGUAAAGCGCGUGUAGGCGGCUUGGCAAGUCAGUUGUGAAAGCCCGGGGCCCAACCCCGGAAUUGCAUCUGAAACUGCCUGGCUAGAGUCCCGGAGAGGAAGGCAGAAUUCCCGGUGUAGGGGUGAAAUCCGUAGAUAUCAGAAGGAACAUCAGUGGCGAAGGCGGCUUCCUGGACCGACACUGACGCUGAGGCGCGAAAGCUAGGGGAGCAAACGGG